UCAACACUCAACACUGCUCUCUGAUGACUGAUGAAAAACUGUUCUCAGGAUUCGUUAAAAGUCACAAGCACGAACGCUUUUCCGCAUCUGCAGCUCACAGCCCUUUCUUCUUACACAGGGACGAGCAUUGGGUGUGCGGAAAAAUAGAAAAUUGCCUGGAGUAAACCAAAUCUUUGAGAAUUAAAGAUGGGCAGGAAUAAAAACGAAAAAAAGAAUAAGAAUGAGAGCGGCAAACCAAAGCCUCAGCAGCAGAAAGAACAGGAGAAAAGAAAAGUGAAGUCGCAUGGAAUUGUGGAAGAUUGCGUCGUGGCUAACAGAUCAUCCUGUGAGGAAUUUUUGAAAGCAGCACCCACCGCUGAACAGCAGAAGAAACCGCCUCUCAUUUCCGAGACUAAUGUUGUCGACCCGGACGACGUUACAAUCAGUCAGCAGAUGGGCAAGAGUAAGAGCAAAAAGAAGAAGGGCAAACAACAGCCUCAGCAGCAGAAACAAGAAGCGGAAGUUGGGGCUGCUACUGAACCACAGAAGACACGUCAUGAAAAAGUGGAAAGUCGGCGCGUCGUGGCCAACGCUGUAAGAAACAUGGACACUUUGCAGAAUGCAGCAGCAGCCGCUGCAGAACCAAAGGAACAGAAUGAGCUGUCUCCCAUUUACGCGAUAAAUUUGGUCAACCCGCUUGACAUUAAAUUCUGCCAAUCAUCAAACCAGGAGGAAGAUUCGCAUUCUGGAGAAUCGCAAAUGCCAAAAUCAGGUGGCGAGGAUUUUUCUGUAUCUCAGUUGAAUUUACAUGUCUUGAUGCAUGCGCUCAUGUGUAGGGCAUUCAACACGAAAAUAGCCGUUCCGGCCCAGUGCGUCCCGGGAUGCCGCGAAACGAAGAUUCUGUUGAUGCACAUGGCGCAAUGCGAAGCGAAGAAGAACAAGCAUUGUAAUUAUUCGGAAUACUGCUUGGCCUAUCGCGCAUUGUUAGGUCACUGGAUUUUGUGCGACUUUUCAGACUGUAAAAUAUGUUCGUUCAUAUAUAAUAAAAGACGCGACGACCGCACAAAAACUGUGAAACAAGAGGCAAAGACUUCCGUGCAACCGCAGUCAGCUGACUUAGACAAGCGAGUGGCGACACUGAAUGUAUUGAAGCCGGCUUUACAGUUACGUAUAUUGAAGAUACCGAUCUUAGGCGUCAUAAAUUGAUUCCAAAAGCCCGUAAUGGAACCCCAAAAAUGAAAAGACGGAUGGAAACUGAAGUGUAGGUAAAUACCUGAUGGCAUGCGCGUUAAAUCACAAGGAUUGGUCCCCGCAGCCGUGUAAACAGAAGCAUAAUCAAUGCAUUCAUUCCAUUUAUUGAUUUUAAAUUAAACGACCUGGCUCCUGUAGUACCUAAAAUUUCAU